rnacentral:lncRNA from 1 species
UGUUGGUUUGUCAAGCGAUCCGGGAGAGUCGUUCCUCGCAAUCUUCAUAGCAAGGAGCCUUGACUGAGUAGUUGAAGAAGUCUUCUGGGAAGAGGUCACGCAUCAGGAUGGGGAUGCAUGAUCGUCGUGUCAAAGUUUCAUUAUCUCCAACACUUUCACAUUGUUCUGAAGGUUGACAGGAGCUGCUUUGCCCCCUUUCCCAUUGGUGAACUUGUGGAAGAGAUGGUUGCUGCCUAGAAAGGCGGUCCUCACAAUCUUUAUAGCAAGGAGCCUUGAUCGAGUAGUUGAAUAAUUUUUUGAGAAAGAAGAGAUCGCGCAUGGUCGAUCUUUGUGUCGAAAUUUCCUCAUCUUCAACAUUUUCACGUUGCUUUGGAGGUUGGCGAAAGCUGCUUUGCCCCCUUUUCGAUUGGUGCACUUGUGGAGAAGACGUAUGCUUCUCGUGCAGUUUCUUCGAAGUGACAUGAGUCUAUCCUUCAACUUCACUUAACUUGGAGUAUGCCCCCAACGGUCGAGGUGAAGACUUUGAGUCGAAAGAGCCAAAAGUGACGUCUUCCUUAGAGAUUUCAUAUUCUUUGUCUUUUUGGAUUUGUUGGCGUGAAGAUUGGCCGAUGUGGAUGAUGGUGCGCCUUCUUACUUUCAGUGGUCCAUUUGUGUUCAACCUUCAAAGUUGCUUGGCGCUUCAUCCUUGAAGGAAUCAAGCUUCGAAUAUCGCCUUUUUCUAUUAGCCUGUCGAGCUUUUCUUCCUUUAACGUUGUCUCCCUAUUUCUAAAAAACUUCCUGUUGUCUUCAAGUCUUUCCAAAGCUGACUGACGAGGAGGAGAGCUAGCCGUGUUGCCGUGUUGCAUUGCUUCUUAGGUUUUGACAACCUUUCAAAAUUAGAGCUUUGGGAUGUUGGCAUGUUAAGCCUCUUAAAAACGGAGGUUUGGUUUUGACCACCAAUGCGAUUAAGUGCUUACAUUCUAGGUCUUGAACGGUUCAUCCUAUCGAAGACUAACGUCCGAGGGACGGCUUUAGGCUCCUCUUGAUCUUGUUCAAUGCUCACACUAAUGUGUUAAGUGUUAGCAUUUUUUGCUUUGCUUGAAAUCUUCACGAGUGGAUUUGGUAUGAAGCCAAGUCCAGCUUUGUUGUUGUCAACUCCGUAACCAUGCUUCUUUAACUUUUUUUUAGUCUCAGUGAGGUCACAUUCUUUAUCGUUGAUGGUGUUUGAAACCUUCUUUCUAGGAUUCGAAGAAGAAGCAAAGUCGUACCCA